UACGGAGGGGGCUAGCGUUGUUCGGAAUUACUGGGCGUAAAGCGCACGUAGGCGGACUGUUAAGUCGGGGGUGAAAUCCUGGGGCUCAACCCUCGAAUGCCGGUGGAUACUGUCGGGCUAGAGUGCGGAAGAGGCGAGUGGAAUUCCUGGUGUAGCGGUGAAAUGCGCAGAUAUCAGGAGGAACACCUAUUGCGAAGGCAGCUCGCUGGGACGUAACUGACGCUGAGACGCGAAAGCGUGGGGAGCAAACAGG
rnacentral:rRNA from 1 species